rnacentral:lncRNA from 1 species
GAGAAUAUUAAAUGGAAAAUUCAAAAAAUAAAGAAUUUCUAAAUUUUAACUUACGUCAUUCUGAAUCGUCCAAUGAAAUCCCACAAACGUGGCUCCUAUUCUUUGCCAGUGGCUUUGCACUGUAUACCCUACCUUCCUGUUAGUCAUUUAGUAACCAUUCUCAGUUAUCAGAUCAACUACUGUGAUAUCACAAUGUUUGUGUUCCAGUAACCUUUCUUAUACUUAGUAAUGGUCUCAAAGCACAAGAGUACUGUAGUGAUUUUAGCAAUGUGAACGUGCCAGUCAGAAGCCUUAAAGUGCUUCCUGCAGAAUUAUUGAGCACUAAUAUAUUAGUAGUUGGUGUUGAGGUGGAAGGACAUCAAACCAAGAAGGGUGAGUAUAAUAAAAUAUUUUGAGUAACCACAUUUAUGUAACUUUUAUUGUAAUGUAUUGUUAGAAUUGGUCCAUUUUAUUAUUAAUUAUUAUUGUUAAUCUCCUAUUGUGCUUAAUUUGUAAAUAAAACUUUAUCUUUGCCAUGCAAGCACAGGAAAAUAAAUCAAUCUACCCAAGAUUCAGGAUGAUCUGCAAUUUUAGGUCUUGGGUUAGAGUGUUGGAACAGAUUCUCUAAGGACAAAGUGAGGCUUUUCCACUUUACUAUCUACCUGGCAGAGUUGUUGUAACAAUAAUAAUAACAAUAACAGCAAUGAAAACCAUCAGCAGCAGCAUUUAAUGAGAACCUGUCAACUGAUAAAUACUUUACAUGGGUCACCUCAUUUAACAGUCAUAAUUAUUUAUAAUAAUUUCACAAGAUACCAUGUAAAUAUUCCAGGAUUUUGCCUGGCAUGUAUUAGAUAUUAAACAUGUCAAUUUUACGUCAUCAAUACAUGAAGAUACCAAAAAUAGAAGGUGAAAAUAUGUGACCCAGAUAAAAAUGGUGGAGAGUAGGUUCUCCCACCCAUGUUCUGGCUCUUGCCAAAAUUUCCAGGCACAGAUGUCUCCUGUGGUGCCUCACCUGUGUUUUGUCUCAGUGUGGACACGCUCAUCCUUGCUUGGACAUGCUCUCCUCUGAGGCCUGCUCAGCCUGGUUUUAAGCUGUGAAAACCUGAAGAGCAAAACCAGGAGCGAAUAUCACUUCCUGUCUGUGUAUCCAGCACGUCUACUCUCUUAUUCCCACAGAAACAGAAGCUCUGCAGUUCCAUUCAGUAGAGUCAGCAGUUUAUGUGUGUGUUUUAAUACCCUCUUACCGAUUAAUUAUUCCUUUUAAUAAAUGCAAUAAAAAAGAACCGUUAUUGGACUCGUACUUUAAUUGAAUUAAUAAUUUAUUCUGGCUAUUAAUGUUUUAAAAAAUAUUUUGUGUGUUAUUUCUUGUCCUAUUAGACAGAUAUGGCAGAGAGAUAAAAUGUGAGGCUAUAUGGGGACUGUGUGGGUAGGAGCUCCCUCCAUAAUGCAUGGACUGCUGAC